rnacentral:rRNA from 1 species
GACGAACGCUGGCGGCGUGCUUAAUACAUGCAAGUCGAACGGAAAGGCCCUGAGUUUGUGGGGUGCACGAGUGGCGAACGGGUGAGUAACACGUGAGGAACCUGCCCUUGACUGUGUGAGAACUUCAGGGAACUGGGGAGAAUACCGGAGAUGAGCUCUUGCUGCAUGGGGGGGGUUGGAAAGAGUCGGCGGUGGGGGAUAGACUCGCGGCUUAUGAGCUGGUUAGGGGGGUAGGGGCUUCCCAAGGCUUUGACGGGUAGGCCGCCUGGGAGCGUGAACGGCCACCUUGCUCCUGCGAUACGGACCAGACUCCUACCUGCGGCAGCAGUCGGGAAUCUUGCGCAAUGGCCCGACGCCUGAUAUAGCAACCCCGCGUGCGGGAUGCCCGCCUUCGGGUUGUAAACAGAUUUCUCCUGUGCCGAACCCUGAUUGACGGUACUGAGUCAAGAAGCCCCGGCUAACUACGUG